rnacentral:rRNA from 1 species
AGCGAACGCUGGCGGCAGGCCUAACACAUGCAAGUCGAACGGACCUUUCGGGGUUAGUGGCGGACGGGUGAGUAACACGUGGGAACGUGCCUUUAGGUUCGGAAUAGCUCCUGGAAACGGGUGGUAAUGCCGAAUGUGCCCUUAGGGGGAAAGAUUUAUCGCCUUUAGAGCGGCCCGCGUCUGAUUAGCUAGUUGGUGAGGUAAUGGCUCACCAAGGCUACGAUCAGUAGCUGGUCUGAGAGGAUGACCAGCCACAUUGGGACUGAGACACGGCCCAAACUCCUACGGGAGGCAGCAGUGGGGAAUUUUGCGCAAUGGGCGAAAGCCUGACGCAGCCCCGCCGCGUGGAUGAUGAAGGUCUUAGGAUUGUAAAAUCCUUUCACCGGUGAAGAUAAUGACUGUAGCCGGAGAAGAAGCCCCGGCUAACUUCGUGCCAGCCGCCGCAGUAA